GAAUAUUGGACAAUGGGGGGAACCCUGGUCCAGCCAUGCCGCGUGUGUGGAGAAGGCCUUUUGGUUGUAAAGCACUUUAAGCGAGGAGGAGGCUACUUAGAUUAAUACUCUAGGAUAGUGGACGUUAAUCGCCAGAGAAGCAGCGGCUAAGUCUGUGCCAGCAGCCGCGGUAAUACAGAGGUUGCAAACGUUAAUCGGAUUUACUGGGCGUAAAGCGCGCGCAGGUGGCCAAUUCAUUCAAAUGUGAAAUCCCCGAGCUUAACUUGGGAAUUGCAUUCGAUACUGGUUGGCUAGAGUAUGGGAGAGGAUGGUAGAAUUCCAGGUGGAGCGGUGAAAUGCGUAGAGAUCUGGAGGAAUACCGAUGGCGAAGGCAGCCAUCUGGCCUAAUACUGACACUGAGGUGCGAAAGCAUGGGGAGCAAACA
rnacentral:rRNA from 1 species